rnacentral:tRNA from 1 species
UUUUAGUUUACCGAGGGUUCGAAUCCCUUUCUUUUCG